AUGUGUGUUAUAUUAAACAUAGAGGAGGGAUUGACAGCUUCCUUGAAGGAAACAAAUAAAAAAUGCAUUCUGCUACUAAGAUCAGUGAAAACUGACAACGGAGUGAAAAGCAGAAAUCUCAACUACCAAGCAAGUCGCAGCAAUGGAGAAUUGAGUGUGUGCGCGUCCUCCCAAAGGGAUGGAGAAUUCUGUCGGGGGAGAUUUUCGGUGAUCCAUGGUUGUUGGUUAUUUACCAGGUAAGAAGAAGUGAAAAUGAAACAAGGACUGAAGCAAUAGACACCUUAUUUUACAUAACUAGAGAUUUAAAUAAAUGUUUCUUUGAAAAGGAGGGCCUGGCUGACAUGAAAAAUGCAUUAAAGGGAAAGGAUCCAUGGACACACAGGCUGAUUAUCUUCCUGCACAUCUCUUCAUUUACCAUGCUGGCUGCCAUGGUUAACACACAGGACAUUGAAUGCUACCUGAAUUGACUCAGAAAAGUAACAUAAGUAGGCCUACAGUAUCACAGCGAGGUCAAACAGGUGUGUGCUAGUUAGAUUAUCCAGGUUCCACAGCAACACUAUUGACUAUUCUCUACCUCCACUGCAUGCUCUCACUAACACCCAUAUUUUCUCUGUCUCCCCUUCCAGAGGGCCUGAGGCUCUGGGACCGUGACUGAGGACACCCUGGCCUGAUACCUCGACAUGCCUAGCCCAAUCCAAGCUGGCCACACUCUACUUCCUACCUGCCUGUUACCAUGACGACUUUGUGAAAAGCGAUCUGACCAUAGGGUCUUGAAUGUAUGCUUUUAUACAGCCUAUAUCUUUGUAUUACAGCAGUCAAAUAGAGUAUUGAAAACUGGAAGUGUGACUUCUUUCCCUAAUGAUUUCCUAUGGCUGAGGUAUUUUGUUAGUAAUCAGGUAUUCCAUACCAAGGCUAGAUGAGCCUGAAUGGCAACACCAGACAAAUGCAAUGCAACUAAUUAAUCUCAUUGUUCAGUCUGUUGAAUAUUCCAUUAAUGAAAAUAUGGAUUUGUUGGCUGAAUUAAGGUUUUAUUAAAACUUCAAAAGAGGUCACACACAAUAGGGUAUGUUUAUAAAAUAAACUAAUUGACAAGAAAAGUAAUUUACAACAUCAAUUAAUGUCACCACCUCUCCCUUUAUUUUGCUUAACUGGGGGAAUGGGAGAAAUGGUUUACAGUAGGCAGGGUAGUGCUCAACAAGCAGAAUGCAUACCAAAUGACACCCUGUUACUUUUGCCUGUAUAAUGCAUUACUUUUGACCAGAGCCCUAUGAACCCAGGUCAAAAUUAGUGCACUGUGUAUUGGGAAAAUGGUGCCAAUUGGGAGACAUUCCAUCUGUUGAUGAAGCCACCUAAAAAUCAAUGACUGCAUACCAAUUAUCCAUCCCUCGCCUAAUGGAUUUGUGGAUUUGUGUAAAAAUUAGCUUGAGCUACUUUACGCCAUUGUUAAAUGGACAUGCAGCCAAAGUUAAUGGUCACACACCUUUGAGUCAUUAGUAAUAAGGUGUUAUAUAAACUAGCAAAUAAUUGACACAAGUUGUUACAGUAGUGGGUAAGACAUUGGAUCCAGAGCUGUAUAAGUUAAUUAUGGACUUUAAAGUAACAGGCAGGAAGCAUGUAGAGGGGAGCCAGGUGGGAUUGGGCCAGGCACGUCCAGGUGUCAGGCCAGGGUGUCCUCAGUCACGGUCCAAGUGCCUCAGCCCCUCUGGAAAGAGAGACGGAGAAAAAUAAAAGUUAGUGAAAGAAUGGCUAAAACUAUAGCACACACCACAUGCACUGGGGUAGAGAACAAUCAAGUGUUGCUGUGGGAACUGGAUAAUCUGACUAACACACACAUAUACCCGUUUGACCUCUGUCACUGUAGGCCUGUUUAUGUUACCCUGUGUGAUUCAAUUCCAGUAGCAUUCAAUGUCCUGGGUUUGUGUUAACCAUGGCAGCCAGCAUUGUAAAUAAAGAGACACAGACAGAUAAUCAGUCUGUGGGUCCCAUCCCCUUAAUGUAUUUUUCAUUUCAGCCAGGCCUGUUUUCAAAGAAAUACCAUUUAAUUCAAUCUUGAGUUGAGUAAAAUAAGUUGUUUUGUUCUUAACCAAAUAGCACAGAAAAUUGCAGUAAACAGCCCCACACUUAGACAGAAAGAGCAAUGUACUUUUCUCAGCCAGGCCCAUCUUUUCAAAGAAAACAAUUGAAUUCUAUCUUUAUUUGAGCAAAAUAAGUAGUGAUCACAAGAAAAUCCUAACAGUUCAGGUAAAGAGUGCCAGUCAGGCAGAAAAUUUGCACAUAAGAGUUAAGUCUCUCCUAGAUUUAGGACAGACACUUCAAAAACUUGUUAAGAUUCAUUUCUUUAUUUGAUUGUCCUUUUUGCAAUUUAUGAAUGUAUUAUUCAAUGCAUACACUGGUCUCAAAUAUAUGAGCAAUAACUAGGCUACACCAAACCAAGACGGACGCAUUGUAAAAUUAGAUACCUAUCAUAUUGAAACGUGUCCCAGUCCAACAUCCCUACCCCUGCCCACUGGGGCGUGAUUUACAGAGCGCUCUUUGAAGUAAGCCCUCUGUAUCGUCAUAUUCCACCGGAUCGAGUUCUCGUCACGCCGGUUGUAAAGCACACAUUAACCCUACAAUUAUUGCCUAAUUAAAGCACUGGUCUAUUCUGACUGGGUAAAAAAUGUUAUUUGAUAACUUCUGUGAUUUGUUUUAUGAUAAAUGUUUUAUAGAAGAUUCUACAAGAUCUGUGUAAACGUUUGUGAUAUAACUUUAGUUUUGUAGGGCACCAUAACAUUCUUGAGACGGUAGUGCAGUCAUUAAUGUACUUGAUUGCCUGAUUGAAGACUGGUUUGACUGAUGUGAAUCAUUUAUCAGAUUGUCAAAAGAGCACCAAUGGCACCACUCGAUUUGAAGCUCUUGAUGUUUUACAUUAUGAAAAAGUAAGUUUAAUGCAUUUUAACUGGAGACAUUAAAUGCAGCGGUCUCAUUCAUAUUUCCAUUUCAGAAACGUCACUGGUCUCAUUGAACCGUAGAUCGCAUUUUUAUAUUAGAUGAAAUUACUCUACAGAUGUGGAACAAUUUACUUUUGAUUGUGCCACAACGGUUUGUUUUUAAGGCUGUACAAAGGUCCGGUUAACUAUAAUUAACUACAGAUGACAGUUAUACAAAUAUUUGCCUUAGCAAAGACAGUACAGUUUAGAAAUUCCGUGGCCGGUGCAUCCAACGGCAUUCCAUGCUCCGUGAAUGGAGCAAAGUGCUUUUGCGAUUUCUGAAAUUAUUUCGUAAUGUUACUUUUCAUCGUUGAAACAUGGCGAUUUCACGGAAACCCAGCUCCAGCGUAUAUUUAAGCAAUAAAGCACGCGGGGAAGUGGUAUUAUGGCCAAUAUACCACGGCUAAGGGCUGUUCUUGGGCACGAUGCAUUGCAGAGUAUAUUUUUGCCAUUACAUUUACUUUUGAUAAUUAAGUAUUAAAACCAAAUGAUUUGACAUUUUACUAAAGUAGUAUUUAUCUGGGUGACUCACUUUUACUUGAGUAAUUUUCUAUGAAGGCAUCUUAACUUUUACCCAAGGAUGACAAUUGGGUAGUUUUUCCACCACUUCCAUAAUCUGAGUUACUCCUUGGCUAGUGAAAAACACGCCAUGGAUUUGUCAACUAACCUGGAGUGUAUUCAUUACGCCGAUUCGUUUUGCACUCCAAACGCUCUUCAAGGUGAUGUAGGGCGGCAGGUAGCCUAGCCGUUAGACCAGUAACCGAAACAUCUCUGGUUCGAAUACCUGAGCUGACACCGUGAAAAAUCUGUUGAUUUGCCUUUGAGCAAGGCAUUUAACCCUAAUUUGCUCCAGGGUCACAUGUAUUAAAUAUACAAGUACAUGCUUAUGAAUGAUUUGAUUGCAAAAGUGACCAAUCUGGUGAUAUAGUCCAGCUUCUCUGGGAUCAGGGCUUUCUUUGGCAGUGGUGUUUUCACGUCAUGCUCUAUUUUUUGUGUGUGUGUUCUGUUGUAACCAACUUUUCUGAGACUCCCAUUUGGGCCAAGUGACUUUAGUGACGUGAGAGUGUUUGGGGUGAGAGGGAAGGGAACUAGAAUGAAGCAGUCAAGGAGGCCAGUCAAGUGCCACCUUUAAAAAAAAUAUAUAUAUAUAUAUUUCUGAAUCCACUAGUGGCUGAUCUCACUUGUUUUGGGGAAGUGCAGGUCAGUGUUGGAACCCCCCUACCCAACAUCAAGGAAAUUCCCUGUAUUGACAUUUACACCCCUCUCUGACGGCACCCUCUCUGGGCCCUCCCCCCACACAUCCGGUAAUCGAGGACCAGCUGGUGUACCUGGUGGUGUACACCAUGGAGCGCUCUGAGACGUAGGAGCAGUUUUACAACGGCAGCACCUCUCCAGCCAGCUUAUUUUCUUUGUGCUCUUCCAGUUCGAAGCUUCCCACACAUGGUGCUCUCGUUUCACCAGAAGGUGGGAUGGUGUUGAUUGGAACAGAAACACACUUAUAGAUGUGGACACAGUCAAUUGUCCUAUUAUCUUUAACACUUGUUCUUGCUCAAUUUUUACCAUUAGCGGAUGAAUAAGCACUUCUGUUCCACACAGUUAGUAAGACAGACCAUGUCUAAAAUGUGUGUGUUGCUCCUCAGCUGGCCGGCCGAGGCCUGAUCAAAAGCAGAGACCACCUGAUAUGGGUCCUCCAGUUAAUCUCUGGCAGCACUCAGAAAAACACCCAGGCAGACUUCCUCCCUGUCAUGAAGCUGUUCGACCUGCUCUAACCAGAGAAAGAGGUGUGUGUGUGUCAAUGACUGUAUAUAUGAAUGGACAAAGCCAUGGGGCAUGUGACUACAUCCGUCCCUAUGUGACUCAGCGCACUGAAGCCAAAUAAAGUUGGUUAAGAUAUCAGCCUCCCGAGUGGUGCAGAGGUCUAAGGCACUGCGUCGCAGUGCUUGAGGCAUCACUACAGACCCUGGUUUGAUCCCAGGCUGUGUCACAGCCAGCCAUGACCGGGAGACCCAUGAGGCGGCGCACAAUUGUCCCAGCAUUGUCCGGGUUAGGGGAGGGUUUGGCCAGCCGGGAUGUCCUUGUCCUG
rnacentral:lncRNA from 1 species